rnacentral:tRNA from 1 species
GGCGGUGUAGCUCAGUGGUUAGAGCAGUUGGAUCAUAACCAACGUGUCGGGGGUUCGAAUCCCUCCACCGCUA